rnacentral:rRNA from 1 species
ACUCCUACGGGAGGCAGCAGUGGGGAAUAUUGCACAAUGGGCGCAAGCCUGAUGCAGCGACGCCGCGUGGGGGAUGAAGGCCUUCGGGUUGUAAACUCCUUUCGCUAGGGACGAAGCUUUUUUGUGACGGUACCUAGAUAAGAAGCACCGGCUAACUACGUGCCAGCAGCCGCGGUAAUACGUAGGGUGCGAGCGUUGUCCGGAAUUACUGGGCGUAAAGGGCUCGUAGGUGGUUUGUCGCGUCGUCUGUGAAAUUCUGGGGCUUAACUCCGGGCGUGCAGGCGAUACGGGCAUAACUUGAGUGCUGUAGGGGUAACUGGAAUUCCUGGUGUAGCGGUGAAAUGCGCAGAUAUCAGGAGGAACACCGAUGGCGAAGGCAGGUUACUGGGCAGUUACUGACGCUGAGGAGCGAAAGCAUGGGUAGCGAACAGGAUUAGAAACCCGAGUAGUCCC